GGGCCCGCACAAGCGGCGGAGCAUGCUGAUUAAUUCGAUGCAACGCGAAGAACCUUACCUGGGUUUGACAUAUGGGGAAAACUCACAGAGAUGUGAGGUCCUUUUGGGCUCCAUACAGGUGGUGCAUGGCUGUCGUCAGCUCGUGUCGUGAGAUGUUGGGUUAAGUCCCGCAACGAGCGCAACCCUUGUUCCAUGUUGCCAGCACGUAGUGGUGGGGACUCAUGGGAGACUGCCGGGGUCAACUCGGAGGAAGGUGGGGAUGACGUCAAGUCAUCAUGCCCCUUAUGUCCAGGGCUUCACACAUGCUACAAUGGCUCAUACAGAGGGCUGCGAGACCGUGAGGUGGAGCGAAUCCCUUAAAGUGAGUCUCAGUUCGGAUCGGGGUCUGCAACUCGACCCCGUGAAGUUGGAGUCGCUAGUAAUCGCAGA
rnacentral:rRNA from 1 species